ensembl:snoRNA SNORD68 small nucleolar RNA MBII-202
UGAUGACAAUUCUCCGGAAUCUCUGAACAUCAUUGAUGAUUCCUUUUGAACCUUAUUUGCUGAUGACUGUUGACGCUGUC